GAUGAACGCUGGCGGCGUGCCUAAUACAUGCAAGUCGAGCGAACAGACGAGGAGCUUGCUCCUCUGACGUUAGCGGCGGACGGGUGAGUAACACGUGGAUAACCUACCUAUAAGACUGGGAUAACUUCGGGAAACCGGAGCUAAUACCGGAUAAUAUAUUGAACCGCAUGGUUCAAUAGUGAAAGACGGUUUUGCUGUCACUUAUAGAUGGAUCCGCGCAGCAUUAGCUAGUUGGUAAGGUAACGGCUUACCAAGGCAACGAUGCGUAGCCGACCUGAGAGGGUGAUCGGCCACACUGGAACUGAGACACGGUCCAGACUCCUACGGGAGGCAGCAGUAGGGAAUCUUCCGCAAAGGGCGAAAGCCUGACGGAGCAACGCCGCGUGAGUGAUGAAGGUCUUCGGAUCGUAAAACUCUGUUAUUAGGGAAGAACAAAUGUGUAAGUAACUAUGCACGUCUUGACGGUACCUAAUCAGAAAGCCACGGCUAACUACGUG
rnacentral:rRNA from 1 species